rnacentral:rRNA from 1 species
UACGUAGGGUCCGAGCGUUGUCCGGAAUUAUUGGGCGUAAAGGGCUCGUAGGCGGUUCGUCACGUCGGGAGUGAAAACUCGGGGCUUAACCCCGAGCCUGCUUCCGAUACGGGCAGACUAGAGGUAGGCAGGGGAGAGCGGAACUCCUGGUGUAGCGGUGGAAUGCGCAGAUAUCAGGAGGAACACCGAUGGCGAAGGCGGCGUUCUGGACUGCAACUGACACUGAGAAACGAAAGCCAGGGUAGCAAACGGG